UCAAAGGAAUUGACGGGGACCCGCACAAGCGGUGGAGCAUGUGGUUUAAUUCGAAGCAACGCGAAGAACCUUACCAAAUCUUGACAUCCUUUGACAACUCUAGAGAUAGAGCCUUCCCCUUCGGGGGGACAAAGUGACAGGUGGUGCAUGGUUGUCGUCAGCUCGUGUCGUGAGAUGUUGGGUUAAGUCCCGCAACGAGCGCAACCCUUAAGCUUAGUUGCCAUCAUUAAGUUGGGCACUCUAAGUUGAC
rnacentral:rRNA from 1 species